AUGAUUAGUAAAUUUGGUAAACCGAAUGCCCAGUCCUGCAUGGGCACACAUGUACGCACAGGCGCUCGGCGCCAUGGACACGACCAACUGCAGGCACAAGGGAGCGCACCAGGAGCAGCCAGUGACAAUGAUGGGCAUGGCGCGCAGGUCGCAGCCAGCAAGCACGGGCCACAGUGGGCAGCGGCGCGCACAGGCAGCAGCGGCGACAUCAGCAAGGAGCAGGAGCAUCAGGCAACAACGGCGGGCGGCUAUGACAGCGGGCGUCAGCAGCAGCGGUUAAGCCGUGAAGCAGCAGCGCACCUAGAAAGCAGCAGGAGUGUGGCGGCGGACGGCUAA
rnacentral:rRNA from 1 species